rnacentral:ncRNA from 1 species
CAAAGGCUUGGUCCUGACUUUACUAUAAGCUUUAGCCCAAUUUAUACAUGCAAGUAUCCGCACCCCCGUGAGAAUGCCCUCAAUCCCCCGCCCGGGGACGAGGAGCUGGCAUCAGGCACACCCAUCAGCCCAAGACGCCUUGCUUAGCCACACCCCCAAGGGAAUUCAGCAGUAAUAAACAUUAAGCCAUAAGUGAAAACUUGACUUAAUUAGGGCUAAGAGGGUCGGUAAAAUUCGUGCCAGCCACCGCGGUUAUACGAAAGACCCUAGUUUAUUGGCACGGCGUAAAGGGUGGUUAUGGGAUAAAUACAAUAAAGCCAAAGACCCUCCAAGCCGUUAUACGCCCACGAAGGCACGAAGCCCAAAUACGAAAGUAGCUUUACCAAAUAAUACCCGACCCCACGAAAGCUGGAAAACAAACUGGGAUUAGAUACCCCACUAUGCCCAGCCCUAAACCUAGAUGUAAACUUACAAAAUUCAUCCGCCCGGGGACUACAAGCACAGCUUAAAACCCAAAGGACUUGGCGGUGCCUCAGACCCACCUAGAGGAGCCUGUUCUAGAACCGAUAACCCCCGUUAAACCUCACCACCUCUUGUUUCUCCCGCCUAUAUACCGCCGUCGUCAGCUUACCCUGUGAAGGUCAAACAGUAAGCAAAAUGGGCUAAACCCAAAACGUCAGGUCGAGGUGUAGCGCACGAGAUGGGAAGAAAUGGGCUACAUUUUCUACCACAGAACACCACGAACAGCGCCCUGAAACAUGACGCCUGAAGGAGGAUUUAGUAGUAAAAAGCAAAUAGAGUGUCCUUUUGAAUUAGGCUCUGAGACGCGCACACACCGCCCGUCACUCUCCCCACCAAUUAAAUAACCCAAAACAUAUCUAAUUAUACACACUAAACCUACGGGGAGGCAAGUCGUAACAUGGUAAGUGUACCGGNNNNNNNNNNNNNNNNNNN